CUCACCCCAUAACUCGAUUUGGACGGGUGGGGUAGGCUCGGGGGCUCCGAGCUUUUACAUAUUUUUCUUUUUUUUUUCUGCUUCUAUCUUUUUCUCUGCGUCUCGUCUCUCUUG
ensembl:ncRNA W02B3.8 ncRNA